GAUGAACGCUGGCGGCGUGCCUAAUACAUGCAAGUCGGACGGAGCGCUUCGGCGCUCAGUGGCGAACGGGUGAGUAGCACGUGAGCAAUCUGCCUUUAGGAGGGGGAUAACAGUCGGAAACGGCUGCUAAUACCGCAUAAUGCAUCAAUUUCGCAUGUUAUUGAUGCCAAAGGAGCAAUCCGCCUUUAGAUGAGCUCGCGUCUGAUUAGCUGGUUGGCGGGGUAACGGCCCACCAAGGCGACGAUCAGUAGCCGGACUGAGAGGUUGAACGGCCACAUUGGGACUGAGACACGGCCCAG
rnacentral:rRNA from 1 species